rnacentral:lncRNA from 1 species
AUGAUGAAAGGGAGAAAACAGAUGAAUUGCAUCAGGACCUGUUAUAUUUUUCAAGUAAGUAUUAGUAAAUGGAGACUGGAGCCUGCAAAUGUCAUUUUUUUUGUCAUUGAAGUGGCAUGCGUAUUAAGAUUUAAUAGCUUAACAUUUGUUUGGCUAAUGAGUGCAAACUUAAGCCAUUUUGAGCAUGCUCUGGACGGGGUUUUUGUAAUGAUGUUGGUCAAAUGUCUGACCUGAAAUGAGCAUGUGGACACAUUUAGCGCUGAAUAACCCUGUGACAAACAACUCUGAGGGGAAUUUAAUGGCAUUUUAUGUUCUAAUAAGAGUGGUUUUUUUGUUCCAGCUACGGGGUGCAUAUUUUAGUCUGGACAGCUGUUUGGGUAAGUAUAGGAAGACAGGAGUUUGUCUUCUGACAUUAUACCUUUUGUAUUUCUGAAGUGGGACCUGUUAGUAGGAAUUAAGAAUUGUUAAGUGAAUAAUUGUUAGAGAAUAAUUAAUAAUUUUUUUGUUGAGUCUUAUUUCUGUACUCAGUAAAGGCAGUUGCAUUAAACAUUUUAUAGGUGAAUGCUAUGUUCAAUCUUACAUUGCUCAAACUAGAAAACUGUCUAAAGAUUCAAUAACUUUUUCAGGUCCAGAUUGAGGAUACCUUUUUAAAAAAGGUAAUUUGAUUUACUCAUUUUGAUGUGUUGACAAGCAAGAUGCUGUUGGUGAUGACUUUUAAAAUAAAACAGAUGGGAAUCUCUCUGAAAAAAUGUGA